UAAGGACUACAAGAUUAUAUCUUGCAUCAACUGAAUGCAACCCAGACGCUUUUAUUAAGCUAAGCCCUC
rnacentral:tRNA from 1 species